AUUUAUUCAUUAAAUAUUUUUGAUUUCCUGCUUUGUCUCAGGCAGUAUGCCAAGAGUUCUAAACAUGACCAAAUCAGAGGAACUCAGAGUUCAUAGGAAAGGACAGAUAUUCAGUGAAAAUGUGUAGAACACCUAAUAUGUGCUUGGCAUUCUUGUAUUUAUUGGGAACACAAAAACAAUAAGAUACAACAUAAAGAAAGGAGCAACAUUUCCCCCUGGUGAGGAAAGGAGAGGCUCCAGACAAAGAUACCUCAGAAUUUCUGGAGGUAGGAACACCUGUAAAGUCACAGAGGUUUGAAACAGCCCAGCCAGCACAUUAGGGCUGUCUAAUUUACUGCAGUUAGCUUGUAGGAUAUAUGUGAAACGGAAGCAUGUGGGUUUGGUAGGAAAGAUAGCCCCCAAAUCAUACAGGACAUUUUACGGUAUUAAAGAUUUGUAGUAUCAUAUGGUUUUAAGUAAGGAAGCAACAUGAUCAGAUUAUGUUUUAGAAAGAUGGCUAAACUGGUGAGAGAGAAAACUGGAAGCAAGCAGUCCAGUUGGAACACUGACGUCCUUAAACUGAGACUGGGAAUCAAGACGGAGAAAAAGAUGAGAUCCCCUGAAACAAUGGGAAUGGACAACAGGAUUCCUGAGUUUGACAACUUGUACUUGGACAUGAAUGGAAUCAUACAUCAGUGUUCCCACCCUAAUGAUGACGACGUUCACUUCAGAAUCUCAGAUGAUAAGAUCUUCACUGAUGUUUUUCAUUACUUGGAGGUGUUGUUUCGCAUCAUUAAACCCAGGAAAGUGUUUUUCAUGGCAGUCGAUGGUGUGGCUCCUCGGGCAAAAAUGAACCAGCAGCGGGGAAGGCGUUUUAGGUCAGCAAAGGAGGCAGAAGACAAAAUUAAAAAGGCAAUAGAAAAAGGAGAGACCCUUCCUACAGAGGCCAGAUUUGAUUCCAACUGCAUUACACCAGGGACUGAAUUCAUGGCCAGAUUACAUGAACACCUGAAGUAUUUUGUAAAUAUGAAAAUUUCUACGGACAAGUCAUGGCAAGGAGUUACCAUCUAUUUCUCAGGCCAUGAGACUCCUGGAGAAGGAGAACAUAAAAUCAUGGAAUUUAUCAGAUCCGAGAAAGCAAAGCCAGAUCAUGAUCCAAACACCAGACACUGUCUCUAUGGUUUAGAUGCUGACUUGAUCAUGCUUGGAUUAACAAGCCACGAGGCACAUUUCUCUCUUUUAAGAGAAGAGGUUCGGUUUGGUGGAAAAAAGACACAGAGAGUAUGUGCACCAGAAGAAACCACAUUUCACCUCCUACAUUUGUCUUUGAUGAGAGAGUAUAUUGACUAUGAGUUUUCAGUGUUAAAAGAGAGGAUCUCAUUUAAAUAUGAUAUUGAAAGGAUAAUAGAUGACUGGAUUUUGAUGGGGUUUCUUGUUGGCAAUGAUUUUAUCCCUCACCUACCUCAUUUACAUAUCAAUCAUGAUGCACUGCCCCUUCUUUAUGGAACAUACAUUACCAUCCUGCCAGAACUUGGGGGUUAUAUUAAUGAAAGUGGCCAUCUCAACUUACCUCGAUUUGAGAAAUACCUUGUGAAAUUAUCAGAUUUUGAUCGGGAGCACUUCAGUGAAGUUUUUGUGGACCUCAAGUGGUUUGAAAGCAAAGUAGGAAACAAGUACCUCAAUGAAGCAGCAGGAGUUGCAGCGGAAGAAGCCAGGAGCUACAGGGAAAAGAGAAAACCAAAGGGCCAGGAAAACUCCAUAUGUUGGGCUGCUUUAGAUAAAAAUAGAGAAGAAGCGGUAACUUCUAAGGACAAUUUAGAAGAUGAGACUGAAGAUGAUGACCUAUUUGAAACCGAGUUUCGACAAUAUAAAAGAACAUAUUACAUGACAAAGAUGGGAGUUGACAUAGUGUCUGAUGACUUUCUGGCUGAUCAAGCUGCAUGUUAUAUUCAGGCCAUACAGUGGAUUUUGCACUAUUACUAUCAUGGAGUUCAGUCCUGGAGCUGGUAUUACCCUUACCAUUAUGCGCCUUUCCUGUCUGAUAUCCGGAACAUCAGCACACUCAAAAUCCAUUUUGAACUAGGAAAACCUUUUAAGCCAUUUGAGCAGCUUCUUGCUGUACUUCCAGCUGCUAGCAAAAAUUUACUUCCUACAUGCUACCAGCAUUUGAUGACCAGUGAGGACUCACCCAUUAUAGAAUAUUAUCCACCUGAUUUUAAAACUGACCUAAAUGGGAAACAACAGGAAUGGGAAGCUGUGGUACUAAUACCUUUUAUUGAUGAGAAGCGAUUGUUGGAAGCCAUGGAGACAUGUAACCACUCCCUCAAAAAAGAAGAGAGGAAAAGAAACCAACAUAGUGAGUGCUUAAUGUGCUGGUAUGAUAGAGACACAGAGUUCACCUACCCCUCUCCAUGGCCAGAGAAGUUCCCUGCCAUAGAACGAUGUCGUGCAAGGUAUAAAAUAAUAUCAUUAGAUGCUUGGCAUGUAGACAUAAGCAAGAACAAAAUAACCAGGGUUGACCAGAAGGCUUUAUAUUUCUGUGGAUUUCCUACUCUGAAACACAUCAAACACAAAUUUUUUUUGAAGAAAAGCGGGGUUCAAGUAUUCCAGCAGAGCAGUCGUGGAGAAAACAUGAUGUUGGAAAUCUUAGUGAAUGCAGAAUCCGAUGAGCUUAGUAUAGAAAAUAUAGCUUCAUCAGUGCUUGGGAAGUCUGUCUUUGUUAACUGGCCUCAUCUUGAAGAAGCUAGAGUUGUUGGUGUAUCAGAUGGAGAAACCAAGUUUUACUUGGAAGAACCUCCAGGCAUACAGAAGCUUUAUCUGGGAAGAACUGCUCCACCAUCUAAAGUGGUUCAUCUUGGAGACAAGGAACAAUCUAACUGGACGAAAGAAGUACAAGGAAUUUCAGAAUACUACCUGAGAAGAAAAGGAAUAAUAAUAAAUGAAACACCUGCAGUUGUAUAUGCUCAGUUACUCACAGGUCGAAAAUAUCAAAUAAAUCAAAAUGGUGAAGUUCGUCUAGAGAAACAGUGGUCAAAACAAGUUCUUCCUUUUGUUUAUCAAACUAUUGUCAAGGACAUCCGAGCUUUUGAUUCCCGUUUCUCCAAUAUCAAAACAUUGGAUGACUUGUUUCCUCCUAGAAGUAUGGUCUUUAUGCUUGGAACCCCCUAUUAUGGCUGUACUGGAGAAGUUCAGGAUUCAGGGGAUGUGAUUACAGAAGGUAGGAUUCGUGUGGUUUUCAGCAUUCCAUGUGAGCCCAAUCUUGAUGCUUUAAUACAGAACCAGCAUAAAUAUUCUAUAAAGUACAACCCAGGAUAUGUGUUGGCCAGUCGCCUUGGAGUGAGUGGAUACCUUGUUUCAAGGUUUACAGGAAGUAUUUUUAUUGGAAGAGGAUCUAGGAGAAACCCUCAUGGAGACCAUAAAGCAAAUGUGGGUUUGAAUCUCAAGUUCAACAAAAAAAAUGAGGAGGUUCCAGGAUAUACUAAGAAAGUUGGAAACGAGUGGAUGUAUUCAUCUGCUGCAGAACAACUUCUUGCAGAGUACAUAGAGAGAGCUCCAGAACUAUUUAGUUAUAUAGCCAAAAAUAGCCAAGAGGAUGUGUUCUAUGAAGACGACGUUUGGCCGGGAGAAAGUGAGAAUGGUGCCGAGAAAGUUCAAGAAAUUAUUACCUGGCUAAAGGGACAUCCUGUGAGCACAUUGUCUCGCUCUUCCUGUGAUUUACAAAUUCUGGAUGCAGCUAUUGUAGAAAAAAUUGAGGAAGAAGUCGGAAAGUACAAGCAAAGAAAGAAUAGUAAGAAGGUGCGAGUGACAGUGAAGCCCCAUUUGCUAUACAGACCUUUGCAGCAGCAGCACGGAGUCACUCCUGACCGGGAUGCAGAGUUCCGGCUCUUCGACCGCGUUGUGAAUGUGAGGGAGGACUUCUCGGUGCCCGUAGGCCUUCGGGGCACCAUCAUAGGAAUUAAAGGAGCUAACAGAGAAGCCGAUGUUCUAUUUGAAGUAUUAUUUGAUGAAGAAUUUCCUGGAGGCUUAACAAUAAGGUGCUCACCUGGUAGGGGUUAUCGACUGCCAACAAGUGCCUUGGUGAACCUUUCUCAUGGGAGUCGCUCUGAGACUGGAAAUCAGAAGUUGACCGCCAUUGUGAAACCACAGCCAGCUGUGAAUCACUGUAGCUCGAAUCCACCGGUUUCAGCUGGGCGUUUGGGAGGCUUAAACCAUUCCCCUCAGUCUCUCUUUGUUCCUACACAAGUACCUACUAAAGACGAUGAUGAAUUUUGCAACAUUUGGCAGUCCUUACAGGGAUCUGGAAAGGUUUCGCACUUUCAUCCAACUCUACAAGAGAAGGGUGCAGUUCUACCUCAAGAAAUAAGUCAAGUAACUCAACAUCAUAAAUCUGGCUUAAGUGACAGCAGUGUUAAAUGUCAGCAGAGAAAACAUGAGCCUCACAGAAAAUUUAAAGAAGAGUGUAAGAUCCCUAAAACUGAGAGUUGGUCACAGAAAAUGUCAAACAGCCAGCCUAACACUGGAUUUGAGAACUUUUUAGCAUCCUUGACUAUCUCCAAAGAAAACGAAGUCCAGUCCUCUCAUCAUGAAGAGCCCCCCAGUGAAGAACAUUUGUCACCGCAGUCAUUUGCUAUGAAGGGAACACGGAUGCUUAAAGAAAUUCUAAAAAUUGAUGCCUCUGACCCUGUGGACCACAAGAGCGAAAUGAAGCAGUUUGGUCCUGAAGUCACUGUCUCCUCUAACAGGAGGGGCGAAUGUGGACCUUCCUCACAGCCGAAACAGGGUAAGAAGUUAACAUCUUAUAUGAACAAGCCUCACAGUUCUAGUGAGUACCAUCCUGUUCGGUCUGUAGACAGUGUGUGCUGGCCUGCUUCCAGCCAGAUCCCUUCUGUGUCCACACCAGCAGCUGAACUCUCUAGAAUCUGUUCCCUUGUUGGAAUGCCACAACCAGAUUUCUCUUUUCUUAGAACACCACAGACAAUGGUAGUUUGCCAGGUAAAGCUGCCCAACGGCUUACUAGUGCACGGGCCACAGUGCCGCUCUGAAAACGAAGCCCGGGAAAAGGCUGCACUUUUGGCUCUGCAACAGUUGGGCUCCUUAGGAGUGAAUUUCCCUUUGCCGCCACCGAUAUUUGCGAAUUAUCCUCCUGCUGUACCUCCUGGACCCGUUCCUCCAGUGUUUCCUCAGCCUGCUGUUAAUAUACUGCCUUCAUCAUCUCCUCUCUUUGGCUCGAUGCCAUGGGGACCAGCAGUGCCAGUGUCCGGAAAGCCCUUUCCUCACACUUCGUAUUCCGGGACCAUGCCCGUGGCCGGGGGAGCGGCAGGUGGUGUGCACAAUCAGUUCAUACCUCUACAGGUUACUAAAAAAAGGGUUGCCAACAAAAAGAACUUUGAGAAUAAGGAGGCCCAGAGUUCUCAAGCCACCCCACUUCAGACUAGCCAGCCAGGGCCUUCCAGCGCCCCCAGAGGGAUGCCCCCGGAGAGCCCGUCAGCUCCCAUCAAGUCCUCCCCAACGGCCCAGCCCGCACCUUCGCUUCAGGCCGAAGCUGCCUCUCAGGGCCCCAGUGCAGCUCACCGCAAGCCAGCAGCAGGCUCUGCCUCAAGGAGAAAAUCCAGAAAGCUGGCUGUCAGUUUUGGCCUUUCCAAACCUUCUGAAUAAGCUCGGUACUUGGAAUUAAAUUACUUCCUCUCCUUUCCACCCACCUCUUUAUAAAUCCAUAUCUGUGUCUCAAAAAAAUUAGAAUGUGGUAUUUUAAAAUAUGUUUCAAUUGAAAAUUUUUAACUUUUAAGUUGUCAGGCACUUUUCAUGCUGUUUAAAAGACUACAUAUCAAAUUGUGCAUCUUAAAUAUGUGCAGUUUGCUUUACGUUAAUUAUACCUCAGUGAAGCUCUUUUUUAAAAAGGCUAAAUUAAACUUGUGUUAAAAUAAUACUAGUGGACUAAGUGUUAAAAUGUACCACUCUAACUGCUGGCCUCGUCCUGAACUAUGAAUUAGACGUCAUAUUGCAAUAAUAGUAAACAUUUUUACACUGUCAUUGAGGGAUAAUUAAAUGGAGCAUGAAAAUUGGGCCUCAGGUAUAACUUACUGAGUGUGGAUCUUAUUUUUCUUUUUAAUGAUGUAACAGAACUGUCGGAAUGGCUCUCAUUUACAUGUACUCAGCGUACGUUCUGGGUCUCUCUGCGUCCUCUAGACCUGCUGUGGGUGAUCCCCCUGGGGUGCUGCCAGUUUUCUUUAUUUUGAAUUCUGUACCAAAGCAACUUUAGAAUACUGAUCAGAAUAUUUCAUUUAACUACUUACAACUAUAAAUAGAAAGCUAGAUUUAAGCAACUAAUUACAGUUUUUUUUAGAUUAUUCAAGAACCAGCAUUGGUAAUUGCUAAUAAAAUUAAGUUUCAAAAUUUACAGGGUACAAUGAUUACAAAUUAAUAUUCCAGUAGAAUAAAGUAGAAGAUAGUAAUCACGUUAAUUAAAAUACAUUGCAUUAUUCUUUUGUAGAGCUCACUUAAGCCUACAUGAGAGCUCCAUUGUUGGCCCAGGUGUAUGCUUCCUGGGCCAAGGAAAUUCUAGUGUUUUAAAUCCAAGGUGGGCUGUGUGUGACAGGCACCGUCACUAUGCAGAGCCCCUUGUUUCCAUGGUAGACCCUCUUGCUCUGUUUCCAUGCUUCCAGCUUCACACUGAGCUGCCCGGUGACCCACACUGUCUUUGUGUCAUGCGGGGGCGUCUCGUUCAAGCCGUGGUUCUGGAUAUUAUUUUAGAAUUUUUGGAAAUUUUAUCAGUGGUCCAGGGCCUGAAUUUUUAUAUAUAUAUUUAUCCUUUAGUUUUUGUGAUGUGCUUAUAUUUUUAAGGAAGUAAGUUAUCAUACUUUUUAAAAAGUUGGAACCACAAUUUUUAUAUGGAGCUGCUGCUUAUUACAUCUAAUUUCACUUAGCGUGUUGAGAACUCUGCCCCGAGUCUUAGAGUAGUCUGUUUGUUUAAAAUGCUGGCCUUGAACUGGGUGGGCUCCUUUAACUGCUGAUCUCAGAGUCUCUCUAAAUGUUAAUAGGCUGUGUAUGGUGGUAGUGCCUUUAGUAUGAGUUAAGUGUUCAUUGUCGUUUGUGUUAGCCAAGUGAGGCGUUGUGAUUUAAGUUCUGUUUCCUAGAUUCACAUGUGCUCCUGUUCCCAGCAGCUCCUUGUUGGGAGUGUCUCUAUCUCUAAUGGGAUCUUGAGUAAUGAGGCUCCAGGAAUUCUCAGCGUGUUUCCUUAUUGCCUCACAAACUCUAUUUGUUUCAAAAGGAAAUAUUUGUUAUGGGAAUAAAAUGCAAAAAGUUAAGCUGUGACAGUAAUGUUCUGUUUAAAGUGUGUAAUAUUUUCACCUUAUGUAACUGUACAAACUCCAGCAUUCAAGAAUUGCCUCACUCGUUGCUUCUGUGUGGCCACACUGUAAACAGUGGACAGCCCGUGUCUUAGAUCACAGAGGAAGGACGCACGCCAUCUGAAAACUCCAAGGGAACUUGAGUAAGCAUGGUGUCCCUGGACCGGCGAGGGCAGCUCCCCAGGAUUUGAGCAAAGCAAGCUGAAAGCUCCAUGUGGAUAGGCAGUAAAGUGUUUCUUUCAUUCCUCCUUCUCUUUUUAAAGCCUAUUAUUCUGAAGGUCAAGAUUAAAGUGGAAGGGAGCUCUGUGGUGACUGGUUGUGGUCAGGCAUCUGUCUGCAUUCUCUUCCCCGAGGAGACCUGUUCCUACCGUGCGCCUGGCAUCUGUAGGGGAGGUGCCCUCCCUUGGGGGGCAGACGCUGCUUUGCCUCACAAUAAUCUUGAGGAGCCUGGAUCCAUCGAUAGUUUAGGAAACUUACAGUUUUUCCUUUCUGGAUGGGGCCGACUCCACCACCCCAAAGUUUAGUUCCAUGUCUGUUUGGCUGUCAGAUCUACUAUGGACUUGGUGUGAGAGGAUGGGCGGUGCCGGGCGCCGAAGAGCAGGGCCCAUGUUGCCCGUGUUCCCACCCACCUGGAGCCGUUGGAUCCAAGUCUUCCUGUUCAGUAAUCUCUCUUCUUUCUUCUUGAGUGCAUUCAGUGCAUGUUGAAGACUAUCCUUCCGGUUUCAUUGUUUCUUUCACAAUUUCCUACAUCACCUGGUCAUUACCUGAGUCUAGAAUUUGGCAGAAAGAAUGUAUUAAUUGAUUUAAACAUCGUGUAGACCAAAGUCUUAAAUAUCUGAUGACAUUCAGUUGCAUGAAAAAUUAAUUUCACAUCUCUGUGUACCUUGGUUUCAAUUUAAGACCGUUUUUUGCUUCUGAGAGAGAGAAAUAGUUCUUUUAGAACUAAAAAGAUACAGAGAUCCUUUUUCCCUAUUAAGGGGAGGGCCGAAAAACUCUCGCAGGUUUUUUUUGUUUACUUCCUUUUCUCUGAUCAGGUAUUUGCUUUGGUUUUAGACUGAUAUUUCCAAACUUAUUUGGUUUUAAGAAGAGGGGCAGAGAGAAGGUGGUUGGAAGAGGGGAACCAGUUGAAUAAGACGUGCCCUGUCACUGCGUUUUCAGGCUGCAGUGUCUUCCUAGCUCAAGGAUGUAGGAUAAAGCUUAAAAUUCUAGAAAUGAACAUUGUGAGGCCUAACGGAAAUAGGAGCCAGAUGUGGUCCACAUAUUGAAACAGCCAGCCAGCAGGGCCUGGCCGAUGGGCAGGCGGGAGUUCGUGGACCCAGUGAACAUCUUGGACAUCACAGGCCCUUUUAGAGAAAGAGGGAAAGGUGGGUAAGCUAGUUUUAGUAGUUGAGACUAUCAGCAAUGCAAAGCAAGCUCUGUGUGCACGAGGUCAGCAGCCAGUGCUUGCAGGCUCCCGGGUGCAGCUGUAAGGGAGACUGGUUUCCACGGUCAAGUUUGACACUGUUAAACCUGUAAAAACGGGUUUUUCCAACAGUACACUCAUUGCAGUUGGUUAUUUCAGCAACUGGUAUACUAUUACAUUGCCCAGGCCAAAUAAUUAAGUUCCUGUAGAUGUUUCAGUCAUUUGAAGCCAAAUUCUUGUACCAUUUCUAAUGAAAUAGUAGGAGUAAGAAUUUGGUCCACAGUUUGCUUUAAGUUCUUUGUUUCUUCCCUGCAGUUGAGGGGCUUGUGUGUUUUGAGGGGUUUUUGUUUUGUUUGCCUCUUGUCUCACGUUUUCUUUGCCUGCACCCAGUGGCUUCUCUUUGUGUUCUUGUGUAUUUUGAUAUAUGAGUACUAGUGUGCUGCCAUCAAAGUGUUCAACACUUUGUUCAUUUAAACAACACAAGUGUAAUUCAUACAUAUAUAUCUUAAUUCCUUUCUCACUUAACUAUUUUAUAAGUAACUAGGAUUUUUCAUUAGAUCUUAUACAGAGCAGUAUUUUAUCAAAAACUCAAAAGGGAAGACUUUUGUGCUCAUUUUGUAGUUUUUUUUAAAUAUCUUUACAUUACCUGUAAUUAAAGUGUUUUAAACCGCAUUAGAAUGGACUUCAGAUGUAUUUUUGUGUUGUGCAUUUGUAGAUUUAUAGCAUGAAGUUGGCCUCAAAAUGUUAUGCAAAAGGAUUUUAAAAUAUAAGAAUCACUGAAAGAGCUUAAACAUUGUACAUGUUAAAUGCUAUAUGGAUUUUAAUUAAACACUUGAGAAUGAUUUUA